rnacentral:rRNA from 1 species
AAAGGAAUAGACGGGGGCCCGCACAAGCAGCGGAGCAUGUGGUUUAAUUCGAAGCAACGCGAAGAACCUUACCAGAACUUGACAUCCCCUGCAUAAUCCGUAAUGGGAUGAAAUCCUUCGGGACAGGGAGACAGGUGGUGCAUGGUUGUCGUCAGCUCGUGUCGUGAGAUGUUGGGUUAAGUCCCGCAACGAGCGCAACCCCUAUACCUUAGUUGCUACCAUUAAGUUGAGCACUCUAAGUAGACUGCCGGAGACAAUUCGGAGGAAGGUGGGGAUGACGUCAAAUCAUCAUGCCCCUUAUGUUCUGGGCUACACACGUGCUACAAUGGGCAAAACAACGGGACGCGAGAUAGUGAUAUUGAGCCAAUCCCUAAAAAAUGCUCUCAGUUCGGAUUGUAGGCUGCAACUCGCCUACAUGAAGUCGGAGUUGCUAGUAAUCGCGAAUCAUCAUGUCGCGGUGAAUACGUUCCCGGGCCUUGUACACACCGCCCGU